UUCGCAAUGCCCGAAAGGGUGACGAAGCGACGCCGCGUGGGUGAGGAAGGCCUCCGGGUUGUAAAGCCCUGUCAGGAGUUAAGAAAUGUAAGUGCGCUAAUAUCGCAUUUAUUUGACGAAGGCUCCAAAGGAAGUCACGGCUAACUCUGUGCCAGCAGCCGCGGUAAUACAGAGGUGGCAAGCGUUGUUCGGAAUUAUUGGGCGUAAAGAGCACGUAGGUGGGUUUGCAAGUCAGAUGUGAAAGCCUCCUGUUCAACGGGAGAAUUGCAUCUGAAACUGCAGAUCUUGAGUGUAGGAGGGGAGAAUGGAACUUCUGGUGGAGCGGUGAAAUGCGUAGAUAUCAGAAGGAACGCCGGCGGCGAAAGCGAUUCUCUGGCCUAUUACUGACACUCAGUGUGCGAAAGCUAGGGGAGCAAACGGGAUUAGAUACCCCGGUAGUCCUAGCCGUAAACGAUGGGCACUAAGUAGAGGGGUUUU
rnacentral:rRNA from 2 species